rnacentral:rRNA from 1 species
CCCGCUCAAGAAACUUAAAUGAAUGACGGGGCCCGCACAAGCGGUGGAGCAUGUGGUUUAAUUCGAUGAUACGCGAGGAACCUUACCUGGGCUCAAAUGUAUGUUGACGUAUUCUGAAAGGGAUACUUCUUCGGACAAUAUACAAGGUGCUGCAUGGUUGUCGUCAGCUCGUGCCGUGAGGUGUCGGGUUAAGUCCCAUAACGAGCGCAACCCCUAUCAUUAGUUGCCAUCAGGUCAAGCUGGGGACUCUAAUGAAACUGCCUACGCAAGUAGUGAGGAAGGUGGGGAUGACGUCAAAUCAGCACGGCCCUUACGUCCAGGGCUACACACGUGCUACAAUGGCCGGUACAAAGGGCAGCUACCUGGUGACAGGAUGCUAAUCUCAAAAGCCGGUCUCAGUUCGGAUCGGAGUCUGCAACCCGACUCCGUGAAGCUGGAUUCGCUAGUAAUCGCGCAUCAGCCAUGGCGCGGUGAAUACGUUCCCGGGCCUU